rnacentral:RNase_P_RNA from 1 species
GAGUUGAUUGGGCAAUUGCGCAUCUUUCAGAUGUGAGGAAAGUCCGAGCAGCGCAGAGCAGGAUAACGGCUAACGGCCGCCGAGGGUAACCUUAGGGAAAGUGCAACAGAAAUAAACCGCCUUGUUUUCAAGGUAAGGAUGGAAAGGCGAGGUAAGAGCUCACCGAGGGGGUGGUAACAUCCCCUGCCAUGUAAACCCUAUCCGCUGCAACACAGAAUGGGAGGUUGUUUGCUCGACACGUAAUCCCGAAAUGUGGCUGGAGCAUAUUGGCAACAAUAUGUCGAGAUAGAUAAUUGCCAAGGGCAGCGACGCCUGAACAGAACUCGGCUUACAGGUCAACUCG